GAAAUGCGAUAAGUAAUGUGAAUUGCAGAAUUCAGUGAAUCAUCGAAUCUUUGAACGCACCUUGCGCUCCUUGGUCUUCCUUGGAGCAUGCCUGUUUGAGUAUCAUGAAAUCUUCAAAGUAAAUCUUUUGUUAACUCAAUUGGUUUCUACUUUGGUAUUGGAGGUCUUUGCAGCUUCACACCUGCUCCUCUUUGUUCAUUAGCUGGAUCUCAGUGUUAUGCUUGGUUCCACUCGGCGUGAUAAGUUAUCUAUCGCUGAGGACACUGUAAAAGGUGGCCAAGGUAAAUGCAGAUGAACCGCUUCUAAUAGUCCAUUGACUUGGACAAUACUUUUAUGAUCUGAUCUCAAAUCAGGUAGGACUACCCGCUGAACUUAAGC
rnacentral:misc_RNA from 1 species